rnacentral:lncRNA from 1 species
UAAUUUUUUUAAAUUCAAUUUUUUAAAAUUUUAUUUUGAUUAUCCAAUUUUUUAAUAUAUUAGAUUUGAUUCAGUCGAUGGUAAAAUUAACUUAAACUUCAUCAAUCUUUUUUUUUAUUUUUUAAUAUACAAUAUAUAUCUAAAUAUUUAAUAUUAUAAAUUAAAAUUUAUUAUUUAAUACAAAUAAUUUAAAGUGAUUAAAAAUUAUUUAUAUAUUUUAAAUUUUUAUAAUAAAAAAUAAAAAAUUAGAGUAGAUUUUUA